AAAACUUACCAGGUCAAGACAUGGGCGUGAUUGACAGGCUAAUGACUUUUCUCGAUUCCAUGGAUGGUGGUGCAUGGUCGCACUUAGUUGGUGCAGUGAUUUGUCAGGUUUAUUCCGGUAACGAACGAGACCUCGGCCUUGUAAAUAGCUAUGCUGCUUACAGGGACAUUGGCGGCUACGCCAAGGAAGCUCGAGGCAAUUGCAGAUCUGGAAUGCCCUUAGAUGUCCUGGGUCGCACGCGUGCUACAAUGACGCCACGAACGAGCUUGCGUGAUGAAAGUUACGCAUAAUCAGCAGUCGGCGUCUUAAGGGAUAGUCUCUUGUAACUGUGGGACUCCAACUAGGAAUGUCUCGUAAGCACAAGUCAACAUCUUGUGUUGAUUACGUCCCUGCUCUUUGUACACACCGCCCGUCGCUCCUACCGAUCGAGUGUUUAGGUGAAUUUGAUGGACGUAAGGAAGUCAAAUAAACCUGAGCACUAGAGAAGAGAAGUCGACACC
rnacentral:rRNA from 1 species